UACAGAGGGUGCAAGCGUUAUUCGGAUUUACUGGGCGUAAAGGGCGCGUAGGUGGUUUGGUAAGUCUGGUGUGAAAUCCCUCGACUCAAUCGAGGAAGUGCACCGGAUACUGCUAGACUAGAGUAUGGGAGAGGUGAGUGGAAUUCCAGGUGUAGAGGUGAAAUUCGUAGAUAUCUGGAGGAACAACAGAGGCGAAGGCGACUCACUGGACCAUUACUGACACUGAGGCGCGAAAGCGUGGGGAGCAAACAGG
rnacentral:rRNA from 1 species